rnacentral:rRNA from 1 species
AUUGAACGCUGGCGGCAGGCCUAACACAUGCAAGUCGAACGAGUGGCGGACGGGUGAGUAAUGUCGGGGAAACUGCCCGACGGAGGGGGAUAACUACUGGAAACGGUAGCUAAUACCGAAUACCAUCGUAUGUGCCCAGAUGGGUUUAGCUAGUAGGUGGGGUAACGGCUAACCUAGGCGACGAUCCCUAGCUGGUCUGAGAGGAUGACCAGCCACACUGGAACUGAGACACGGUCCGAACCCCUACGGUAGGCAGCAGUGGGGAAUAUUGCACAAUGGGCGCAAGCCUGAUGCAGCCAUGCCGCUUGUAUGAAGAAGGCCUUCGGGUUUUAAAGUACUUUCAGCGAGGAGGCGUUACUCGCAGAAGAAGCACCGGCUAACUCCGUGCCAGCAGCCGCGGUAAUUC